GGGAUAUUAGCUCAACGGUAGAGCAGUGGACUUUUAAUCCAUUGGUUGAAGGUUCAAAUCCUUCAUGACCCA
rnacentral:tRNA from 1 species